UGACACAUGCAUAUUAUGAACUUCGUAAUGCAGACCAUGUAAACAUUUUCAAUUAUUUACCUUCUGAUCUUAAAACUUCAUCUUAUGAUUAAAUUUACCCGUCGUAUUUUCCUAAUAAUGUGCAGUAUUCCACAAAAGUUUUUCCAAGUUUGUCGGUUGUGUUUGGUAUCAAUUGGAGAAAAUGAUGUCCAGACCCAUCGUUUGUGUGAUGAGUCUCAAGUUCGGAGACGCUUAUUUACGGACUGCGGUUGCAACAAAAAUCUGUAUAAUAAUCAUUUUGCAAAGAGUCCAAUCCGUGACAAAAAUAAGAGAUUUGAUAAGUCGACAGAUGAUUCUUUACCGUUGAUAAUUUCCCCUAGUGAUUCAUGUUUGCCCAAAAAUUUUCAGCACUCAAAUUCUGAGUUGUCAAAAGAAGAGAAGCCAGAUAUUCGAAAUAACAAAGAAAGAAGUAAGGUAAAGAAUAAAUUUGUACCUGAAAACAUUGGGGAUGAGACAUUUCAAAAUUUUGAUGAUGAUUCAUCGCCGUCUAUAGUAAUACAAAUACUUAGAUGUCUAUCCUUAGAGGUGUCUCUUGGUGACCAAUUACCCAAAUUGGUAUGCUGCAACUGCCUGUCCAACUUACGGACUUUAUGGAAAUUCCGGACGAUGGCUCAAGAAGCAGAUACCGUACUUCGAAAUUUUUUGAUGUAUUGCAAAUCAUCAAAUAAGAAUAUUUCAGAAAUUGGAAUUCAUUUCAACAAUAUGGUUUCCUCUACCUCUUGGAACAAAUCUCCAUCUGAGCAAAUGGCUGCGACGGCAUUAACUGAGUUGUGCAAUAUUUCAAGAAAAGAUGACCAUAACCAAAAUAAAUCUCCUGAUAAUGAAUUGCUUUGUUCGAAAUCAGAACACGAAACUAUAUUUGAACAAGAUGACAAUGGAAUUCGACAAGAUUUAAGACCAUCUGAAGAAACUUGUUUCAGUGAAUGUUCUCAAAAUGAAACCGAUUACAUAUUUCGGACGCAUCUAGAAACGGAUGCAGUUCUCACAGACGUUAGCAAGAACGUCGUAUCCAUUUCGUGUUCGAAUCAUACAACACUAAACCAUUGUACUUGUAUGCUAAAUCAUUUAAAGAAUAAUAAUAUUCGGAUUAAACAAAAUAAUGUUUCGGAGACUAAUACUUCGGGUACUUUACGAAAUUCAUCAACAUUUAUUCACAUACCGGACGGUAAUAAUUUACACACAGAAGGUAUUCUCAACCGUAUAACGAGAGACAAGUAUACGCCCUUUCACUCAAAUGAUAAAGCGGACCAUUUAAUAAACGACUGCAAUUCUCCUAGUAGCAUUACCACUUCAGAGGAACUAGCUACUGAUGCGGCAACUACUCAACUAUGGCAGGUAUUGGCGCAUUCGGCAGCCAAGCGAAAUGAAUGCAAGGAAGCGUCUCAACUUUUACACAUAUUAAACAGUUCUUUCGCAUUGCCCAAAUCACCAAAUCUAGAAAGAAAAGCACCCUCAGAGAAGCCAAUGGAAUUAGUCAAGUGUGGGAAAUUAUUUGCCUCUAGAAACGGUCUUCAUAAGGAUAUGGUGUGCUCUAAUUGUGGAACAGUAACUACAACUAUUUGGAGGAGGAGUAUCUGUGGCGAUAUUGUAUGCAAUGCAUGCGGUUUAUAUUUUAAACUCCAUGGAGUUAAUAGACCGCAUUCCAUGAGACGGGAUACUAUACAUACUAGACGGCGGCGACAAAAGGGCCCCGAAAAAGCAGUAAAAAUUGUUUCUCGAUGACAACGAAUCUCCGCUUUUGUAUAACAACAACAUCAUCAUAACCAUCAAUCUCAUCAGUAUAUCACGAUCCCCGUACAACAGCAACAAUAACAACAAGGCCUUCUGUCAAGCAGGUACCAUUAUGUAGUCAUCCGAUGUUUUGUCACAUGCUUAUAUAGACGCACGGAGGAAAAGCAACGGUAUUUUUAAAGACUUUUUAUAAGGUCAAGUUUCUUUCUCGGAAAGUUUACAUUGUUGUCAAGUCACUUGGAAAUAGCUUGGUGACGGACAAAUUGCUGUUACCUCAUGUAAUUAGAAAAAUAUUAACUAUAGUUGUUGCCGCUAAAACCAAUCAGUAAAGAAAAACCAUUGUAUUUCUAUAUAUUAUUUACUAAUAGUCACCGCGUUUAAAACCAUUCAAUGCUGUGCAGACACACGCUUGCAGAAGAAUAAUUCUGUCUUUCCGAAGAAAAUUCACUGUAUACACACCUUUUAAAGUAUUUAAUGACGCACUUUAAGCCAAUUUAGUGCCGUGCAGGCACAUAUUUUUGAUAAUUUCCUGAAAUUUUGAUAUAUAUAAUUUUUAAGCGAUUUUACAACAUUUUAGUACAUUUAAGCUGUUUUAAAUAUUCAAGCCCAUGAUUGUGAACCUUUGUUAUUCUCCUUCUUCUUUUUAAUUUGUUGUUUAGCAAUUUUUGAUAACCUUGUGCUGUUCAAGGCAAAACACUUGUAUUUUCCAUUAGUUUGAAGAGAAUUUUCAAGCCUUUUAGAAACAUUCAGUGCUGUUUAAGGCACUUAUCAUUUCUUUCCUUCAAUUCAAACCUUUGUCAAGUAUUCUCGUACCAGGUGGCACAUUGAGAUAUGCUACUUAAUCUCUUUUAACAUAUUUUUUUCUUGGUUUAUAUUCCGUCACUUGAUCGAAUUUAUUUAUGAUGGUAUAUAAAAACAUAUUGUACAUGAGAUUUUAGCCCAAUUCUCAUUCUAGUUUUUUAUUGUAUUUAUAAGUCAUGAAUUGUGACCGCAUUCCAUAUUAUAGCGCUAUAAUAGGAGUGU